rnacentral:misc_RNA from 1 species
GAUGAAGAACGCAGCGAAACGCGAUAAGUAAUGUGAAUUGCAGAAUCCAGUGAAUCAUCGAAUCUUUGAACGCACAUUGCGCCCGCCAGCAUUCUGGCGGGCAUGCCUGUUCGAGCGUCAUUUCAACCCUCGACCUCCCCUUGGGGAGGUCGGCGUUGGGGACCGGCAGCACACCGCCGGCCCUGAAAUGGAGUGGCGGCCCGUCCGCGGCGACCUCUGCGCAGUAAUACAGCUCGCACCGGGACCCCGACGCGGCCACGCCGUAAAACACCCAACUUCUGAACGUUGACCUCGAAUCAGGUAGGACUUCCCGCUGAACUUAAGCAUAUCAAUAAGCGGAGGA